rnacentral:rRNA from 1 species
UACGUAGGGAGCAAGCGUUGUCCGGAAUCAUUGGGCGUAAAGCGCGCGUAGGUGGCCCGGUAAGUCCGCUCUGAAAGUCACAGGCUCAACCUGUGAAAGCGGGUGGAUACUGCCGGGCUAGAGUCCGGAAGAGGCGAGUGGAAUUCCUGGUGUAGCGGUGGAAUGCGCAGAUAUCGGAAAGAACACCAACGGCGAAAGCACUCUGCUGGGCCGACACUGACACUGAGAGACGAAAGCUAGGGGAGCGAAUGGG